GAUGAACGCUAGCGGCGCGCUUAACGCAUGCAAGUCGAGCGAUGAGGCUCCCUUCAGUGAGUAAUCACGGGUAGACUGGUGAGUAACACGUAUAUAUACCUGGCCUCAAGACGGUGUACCACCGGUGGAUACUGCUGCUAAUACCCGAUAUGCUCACAGGAUCUGGAGAUCGAUUGAGGAAAGGCUUCGGUGCUUGAAGAGGGAUCUGCGGACCAUCAGCUAUUUGGUGACUUAACUGCUCAUCAAGGCGACAACGGGUACGGGGUGUGAGAGCAUGGGCCCCCAACAAUGGGACUGAGACACUGUCCAUACUCCUACUGGAGGCAGCACCGGCGAAUAUCGCGCAAUGGACGGAAGUCACACACUAGGCGACGCCGCGGUGGGUGAUUGAAGGCCUUCGGGGUAGUAAAGCCCUUUACAUGGGAACGAGAAAUGACGGUACCCUUGGAAUAAGCGUCUUGCUAAGUACGUGACAGCAGCCGUGGCAAGACUUAAGACGCAAGCGUUAUCCGGAUUUACUGGGCGUGAAGCGCCUGUAGGCGGUCAUGUAAGUCGGAUGUGAAAGGCCCUGUGCUCGAACGCGGGGAAGCCAUUCGAUACUGAGUGACUAGAGAAUGGUAGAGGGAAACGGAAUUUCUGGUGUAACGGUCAAAUGCGCA
rnacentral:rRNA from 1 species